rnacentral:rRNA from 1 species
GACGAACGCUGGCGGCGUGCCUAAUACAUGCAAGUAGAACGCUGAAGCUUGGUGCUUGCACCGAGCGGAUGAGUUGCGAACGGGUGAGUAACGCGUAGGUAACCUGCCUGGUAGCGGGGGAUAACUAUUGGAAACGAUAGCUAAUACCGCAUAAUAGUAGAUGUUGCAUGACAUUUGCUUAAAAGGUGCAAUUGCAUCACUACCAGAUGGACCUGCGUUGUAUUAGCUAGUUGGUGAGGUAACGGCUCACCAAGGCAACGAUACAUAGCCGACCUGAGAGGGUGAUCGGCCACACUGGGACUGAGACACGGCCCAGACUCCUACGGGAGGCAGCAGUAGGGAAUCUUCGGCAAUGGACGGAAGUCUGACCGAGCAACGCCGCGUGAGUGAAGAAGGUUUUCGGAUCGUAAAGCUCUGUUGUAAGAGAAGAACGAGUGUGAGAGUGGAAAGUUCACACUGUGACGGUAUCUUAACAGAAAGGGACGGCUAACUACGUG